GGAGAGAUGCUCGAGUGGUUGAAGAGGCACGCCUGGAAAGCGUGUAUACGUCAAAAGCGUAUCGGGGGUUCGAAUCCCCCUCUCUCCG
rnacentral:tRNA from 3 species